rnacentral:lncRNA from 1 species
UCAGGUCAGCAAUAGAUAGGUACAUUCCAGGAGCUUCUGUUGAAGACGGUUUGUGCCAAGUUGCAUCUAUACUAGUUUCUGUAUUACUUUGAUGAUUCUAUAAAAUGUAAACCGAUGUGAAACUAUUACUAUUAACGCAAUGAUUGUUGUACUUUGAUUACUAUACUGCAUAUGUUGUGAUACUUGAUAUGACGUCAUCCACCCCAGAACGUUUCCGCCGUUCCGGUUUUGGGGUGUGACACCACUAUUGCAUGUUCGGGUUGAAACAUACCCCAGGGUUGGGCCUAUGAUUGUAUGUUGAGUUGGAAUAUACCCCAGGUUGGGCCCACUGAUUAGUAUGACAUAUGGUACUUUGGGGAACUCACUAAGCUUUGUGCUUUCAAGUUUAUGUUUAUGGUUUCAGGUACUUCCGGUACCAAAGGGGAGGGCCCGACGUGAUAGCACAACAUCCCCCUCAUGAUUCCACGCUUAUGAUUAUUUUACUCUGAUGACUUGAUAUUUUAAAUCGUGGUUGAAUUUGAGACAUCUGACGUAUGGAAUUAAUGAUUUUUAAAAUGAAAAUAUUUUAUCAUCGUUUUUGGGAUAUUAGAAAAUCUUACAUAAAAAUGAACAAGGAAUUACAAUAAAUAGUGUCCUACUAUCUAAGACUUGUCCUUGUACUCCUGUCUUUUUUUGGGUACCACAACUACUACUACCUGAACCUGCAAAACAUAAAUUUGUACACUAUCAGACACAAUGUAUAUGGUGAGUUAUUCUUCUAUAUUUUCUUAUCUUUUUUCCUUCUCCCUCUCUCAGACACUAUAACCUAACUCUUACUCUAAUAACAUACAUUUCUAUUCUUUCUUCUUGCACCUACCUGUUCUAUUCUUCUCUAAUAUUUUUCUACUCUUUCUCAUCUCUUCUCUUUCCAUCUCUUCUCAUACUCUGUACAUACUCUAUCUCAAUCUCUAACUUUGUCUAUUCUUCACUUUGUCUCUACUCUUCUCUUUCUCUACUCUACUCUUUCUUUACUUUACUCUUUCUCUCUCUAUUUUUAUCUCUAAUGCCACAUCAAUUUUGUUCUUAUUUAGACCGAACGGUCACAUCUCAUACUCUAAUCUUAUCUAUCUUCUAAGAGAACAACGAUUCUCAUCCAGUCUUACUCUCUAUCCUAUGACCAUCAUGGAUCCCUAUUCUUUCUUCUUCUCUUGAAUCCCUCAUAGAUUCCUUUUUCUUAAUCCCUCUAGGAUUACCUCUAAGGGUGCGUUUGAUACAGAGAAAUGGAAUUCCUACAGAGAAUGGAAAUGUAGAGAAAGAGAAUUAAGUUGGAGAAAGAGAAUUGACUCCCCUGUUUGGUAGAAUCGAGAAUCCACUAGAGAAAUGUUUUUGAGAAUCAUUUCUCUUGUUUGGUUGUAUUAAUCAAUGAAAUGGAAAUGAGUUUUUUUUACCUUGUUUACUCAUUUUCAAACAACAUUUUUUAUAAAAAUGCAUUACAAUGUACAUCUUAAUUAGUCAAAAUAUGUAUCUUUUAUGUUUAUAUUUUUUUUAUUUUAAUAUUAAUUGUUACUAAAUAAUUUAUUUUCUAAUCAAUUAAUAUCAUUAUUUAUACAUAUUGUAUUUGAAAAAAUGUUUCUAAUAUAAAAAAAUAACUUACAAAUAGAUUUAAAAGAAAUAUGCAAAUCAUACUAUUCAAGAACUAUGUCAAUGGAGGAUAUAUGCAAAAAGUAUAAUUCAAUAUUCCUAACAACUAAAAAACAUAACUAUGUCUAAUAUAGAAUAUACAAAGAGUCAACUUCAAUAUUCGUAAAAACUAAAAAAAAAAAAACAUAACUUAAAAAAAGCUAAUCAUGAUAUUGAGCCAGCCCCAAUCAUUUUCAUGUAUCAAAUCUUUUCUUCUUUUGUCAUCCUAAAAACUACCCGGGCACGAAAGUGACCUUUGCUAAACAUGUUAAUCGCCUUAAUUCGUUGUUUGACAUUGAUAUUUGGCAUGCGUUAUAUAUCUUCGAUAAUUUAUUUAUCAUAUCACAUGCUUCCUUAUUUUCUUGCCUUCCUAUAUUCUAUAUUGUUUCAUUAUGUUUUUCACCAACCUCCUUGAAAGUCUUUCAUUUCUUUCGUUGCUUCCUUAUAAUAUCUUCCAGUGUCAUCCGUUGGAGGCCUUUUGCGUUUACUAUUGACACGAACAUUUUGUUGCGUCUCUUCAACAAUCUCUUCCAACCCUUCCACAUCAACAGGUGAGUUUCUUUGUAUCUCUUCAGUCAUAUCUUCACCAAGAUAAGUAGCUCUGUGACCAGUAGCUCUAUCCUUCCCGAAGAUUUACAAUAUGUUUUAAUGAUGCUAAAAAUACUACAAAAAUAAUCAUUAUAGUACCUUUAUGUACUCAUCCCAAACUUCAGCAUCGAUAGUAACACAACAUUUAUCUGUAUCCCAGCCAAAUCCACUCGUAUUUGUUCCAUAUACCAUGUCAUGCACGAUGUUGAAAUGGUUUUUCCAUGUCUUCAUCCUCGAUUUAAUGUGAGGCUAUGCUAUCAAACCCGAGUUAGGAAGACUUACAUCUAGUAAUUGUUCCAUUACCUUCAAAUAACUAGGUUUGAAUCCGUUGCCGGCACCACCAUACUUUCCGGAUACACGUAACUCCAACAAUGCCUCAGUUAACUUUGAAUCCUCUUCAGUAGUCCAUGUGUGUUUGUUUCGCCCUGCCGUGUCUACAAAAAUAUUUACAUAAUAGAUGCUUGAAAUACCAUACAACAAUCAUAACAGCUCCUGUUUGUGGCUUUAUAACUUAACCAAAACUUAACGAAUUAAGAUGUUUUUUUAUUCUAAAACGUAGACAAGACAGAGCAGUACAUUUAGAAAAAAAAAUCGCAUCAUUCCGAGCUUGUAUGAAGCUUUUAUGAUGGUUCAAAGUUGGACAAAAUUUAUAAAAAGUGUUGAAAUAUUAUGCAACAAUUAUAAUAGCUCCUGUUUGUGGCUCUAUAACUCAACCAAAACUUAAUCAAUUAAGCUGUUUUUUAUGCUAAAACGUAGACAAGAAAGAGGAGUACAGUUUGAGAAAAAAAUCGCAUUGUUUCGAGCUUGUAUGAAGCUUUUAUGAUUGUUCAAAUUGGAGAAAAAAAAUCUGAAAUUGUAAAAAAAAAAAUUGCUUUUGUUCAUUCAACUCAAGCAUAAACAAUGAACAAAUAGCAAUUGAUCAUCAUUGAACACUUAUCUACAUGAUUCAUCCACCAAGAUCGAUUUCAACAUAGGAAGAUUCAAACAUGCAAAAAAAAAAAAGCAAUUCAUAGCAAGCUUAACAUAUUCUUGAAUUGGAUAUUAAAAACAAAAUUCAUAGAAAAUUAGCACAUAAUCGACCAACAAGGAGAAUCAGAAAGAAACAUGAAGUCAUACCUUCACUUGGAAGUGGAUUGGUGAUGUCAAAAUCGACCAAGAAGCUGCUACAAAGAAAAGUGAAGUUGUGCCUUCCAAGUUACGAACAACAUAGAGGAGUAAGGCAUAUGUAUUUUCUUGUAAUCGUGGGCCAAUUCCAUGAUAUUCGGUAGCGGUUGUUUGAAAAAACUCAGAAAUUGAAUGUAUUGGGGAUAGAAUGGGGGCGCUAUUUUAUUCUCGACCCACGUACGUUGGGCGUACGUGGAGUGCGCUGGGCGUACGGCCACCUAGGACAAACCCUAAUUUUUAGGGUUUGAGCUUUAUUUAAACACCAUAAUUUGCUCUUGGACCUUCUUAUGACCAGCCUCCACCUCUCUAAAACCUGAGAACAAAACCCUAAUUCCCAUUCGAGUGUUUUGACCUUGGAAGUGAACUUUGAGGGUGUUUUUGGUGAUCUUAAGGAAGAAGAACUCUUGGAAGUUGCAUUGGUGUAAUUGAAUCUUGUGGAUCCAAAACCAUCACCAACUUGGAAGGCUUUUGGAGGUAUAAAGCUUUAACUUGAUGCUCUUUAUGAUAGAUCUAGUCUAGGGCAUGAUUUUGUACAUUUGUCCAAUGAGUUCUCUUUGUGGGUUUGAGCCACUCCCGGAGCUAGGAAUACUAGAUCUUAGCCUCUCUGAUGUUCCUUGUGCAUAAAAAUGCUAUCUUGAUGUGUUAUAUUGGACCAAGCAUGAGUUAGGGCUCUUAUUGUGGGUCUUAAUGUUAAAAAAACAAGUAUUGAGUCCCAUUAAGUCAGGAAAAAUUGUAAAGUUGCCAACUUUACGUGUUAAGACCUUAUUUUGUAGUAGAUCUCAAGUCUGGACGUAAAGGUCUUAAGGGAUUACGACCCAAGGUUGGCUUUUAGGAAUUUGGCUAGUACGUCGGACGUACUCCUUAGUACGCUACGCAUAUUGGGUUAGCAGCCCGCUUCUACGUCAAACACAGGGCGUACAAAUGGGGUACGCUAAGCAGGGCCUUUAUUUGUGUUUGGGCCCUUUUGGAUAUGAAUAUCUUUUGGGAUUUGGGCCUUAGUUGGAUUUUGGGCUUUAUAUCUGUUGGGCCACAGCUGGAGCUUAGGUUUAUGGGUUGGGCCAUUUUUAGGCCUUGGGGCACUAUAAAGUAGUAGGCCAAGCUAGUUGGGCCCAGUAAGGAAAAAGGUAAAAUAGUCUUUACCUUAGAGGUUGAGGAUGAUGAGUUGGGACCCCGAUUAUGGAUUAUGAACUAAUUAUUAAUUAGGGUAUUUCUUUUUUUGGAAACGGAAAAAAAAAAGAAAAAAAAAAGUGUAUCACGAAACCAAAGUGGAACAAAGUGUAUCACUACAUCAUAAAACAUCAGAGUAAAUUACAAAAUGCGGAAUAAGAUGGUGUGUGCUCUACAAUCAUCCCGAGUUCUUCCCUAUUGAACUACAAGUACCUGAAACAUAAACUAAAAACCAUAAGCACAAAGCUUAGUGAUUUCCGCAAAAUACAACAUACCAUACAUAAUAAACACAUAUUGGGCCCCGCCCAAGGUUCUAAAUGGCGUGAGGCGUGGCGUGGCGGCAAGGUCAAGCCUCAAGCUUAGGGAGCCAUGGCGAGCCAUGGCGUUUUUCAAGGCGUGAUGUGAGGCGGCGAGUUUGUAUUAAUUUAAAAUUAUAUUACCACAUAAAUAUAAAUUUAUAUUAAAUAUAACUACUUUUUAGAAGUGUUAGAUCAAUAACUAAUAACAAAAUUUUAACAAAAACCACAAUACUUGUAUCUCCGAUUAGAAAAGACAUAAAAAAGAGCAAAAAAAUGUGUCUCAAACGAAAAAACACGCGCCAUAACACGCCAUGACGCGCCAUAUCACGCCUUGCCACGCGCCACGCCUAAUAGCAACGUUAUGAGACUUUUCGUAACGGCGGAGCCACGCCUCACGCCAUGGCGCGCCUUGGCGCGCGCCAUGGUGCGCCUUUUAGAACACUGGCCCCGCCCGACAUCAAGUCCCACUUGGUAUACAAAUUUGUCUAUCAUUAGGCCCCACCUAGCAUUGGGCCCCACCCUAUAUACAUAUAUACAUAUAAAUAUAUAAUCAUACAAACACAUGCGAUAAUCACGAAGAUAAUAGCAUACAAUACAGUCAUCGGGCCCCGCUCGGCAUCGGGCCAUGCCUGAUAAGCAAACCAACACAUCACACAUGCAAGAGUCACACAGACAUCUAGCAUACUAACAUAAUAAACCAUAGGUCGGCAUUGGUGCCUUCGAGCCGCUAUACAGAGUGAUGAAACUCACUUCAAGCAGCUGAAUCAGCCGAAUAAGUCUCCGACUGUUGGCCCGGAAAAUCCUCGCGCUAUCAAAAUCAAUAACUUCCAAUUAUUAGUUGGAUUCCGACUCAUAACCAAAAUUCUAAGCUAUUUGGCCUAUAACAAGGGUAAAAGACCAAUUUACCCUUUAUCUAACUUGGCUCAAAACCAAGUCCCAAAUCCUAAAGCCCAAUAUAUGGCCUAAUCUUCAAAAUUAGGCCCAAACCCAUCAUGGGCCUAAAAUCCAAGGAAGCCCAACAUGCUAGGCUAAAUCUUAAAACAGAGAUCUAAUGUACCAAUAAGGCCCAAACUUCCAAAUACACACAAUGGCCCAAUACCGACGACGUUAAGCCUAAAGGCUCAUAUACUGAGUACGUGGGGCGUACUCAGCUUGUACGCUUAGCGUACUCCACCUGGGGCUAGUACGCACAACAUACCAGCUGGGUACACCUAUGUACUCCCCAGUGUGCAAACUUACUCCAUUAAUCACUUAACCAAUUAAUCUGUUUAUCCUAGCUCUCAGAUCUGGUCCCUAAAGGUGACUUACCACGUAAAGUUAGCAACUUUACAAGCAUACAUGGCUUAAUGGGGCUCAAGAGCUCAAAAAGAGCUUAACAAAGGUCUUAAUACAUGCAUGGGUCAAGAUACACCAAUAAAGUUUGCAUUUUUAUGCAUAAAGGACCCCUAAAACGUCCAAAUCUAAGGGCUAAGCUUCUGAAACAACCUUUAAUCACAAGGACCAAGAAAAAGGGACCAAAAUAAGCCAUAAACAAACUCAAACUAGAUACACAAGGAGUUGUCAAGUUAAUAACUUUAUACCUCAAAUGGCUCGAAAUGAUAAUGCUAACUUUGGAUCUCUAAGCUUCACUCCAAGGAAUGAGUCUUCGAACUCCUACCACUUCAAAAUGCACAAGAACACACCAAAAUUAUUUACAAGAGCUCAAAAGCUCCAAAACAAUGGCUAAGGGGCUAAAUUAGGGUUUAGAACAUAUAGAGAGAGUUAAUAAAUCCAUAAUGAUAUGGUUUACAUUUAAUUAAAUUAAAAGUGUAAUUUGUUAAAUUAGACCAUAUAGUAUUUUAAAAGUGUAAAAUACACCCUUAUACUAUAUAUAAAAUUAAAAGUCUAAUAUUAUAUAUGUAUAACUUAAAUGGCAGUCUUACCGUUAGUAGGCCUCAUUCACGGAGCUAGUCUAUAAGGGGUGUUUAAGGAAGCGGCCUGUAAAAUGCCCAUCAUUGGGUAUCCACUCUUACUUACCGCACUCUUGACUAAUGGAGGGUCGUUAGCCGAACGGGUAGGAUAGGGCAAACCUUUUCCAUUAAAAGUAUAAUGAAUUAUAACGUAACUAAAUGUUUUUACAAAAUUACUAAUCUUAAUUACUUUAGGAAAAAGUGAACUGAUGCAAUUCCAUAAACUUACACUUUGUACCCUUGCUAAGACGUUAGUAGAGCGCGUGUGGUUAACCGGCACACUAAUUGGGUUCUAAGCAAAGGUGGUGAAGGGUGACUCGAUGUUUUUCAUAGUUCGGUGGAGCGUGUGUGGUUAACCGGCACAUCGAAUAGGUGAAUGUAACAUUGGGGGCACCAUGUAAGUUUGCAUGGUUAUUCACACCCUGUUUUGUGAUCAUCGGCAUCCCAGUCACAAAUCGAGGGGCAUAUCGAGAUUUAAACAUGCCAUUGAAAAGCUCAAUGAAUCUCAAAGGAUCUAGGAGUUUUCAAUACAUUUAAAACUUAAUCUCUUUUUUGUUUUUCAUGGUGGAAAAUUGGUGAAUCGUCAUUCACUUACCUUCAAAUGUUCUGCAAUUUGGAUUACGGCAUCCCUCUUCCAAGUCGUAGAAUAUUGUGUUGGAUCCUAGCCUUAAUAUCUCAUUUGGGUGUUUAUUAAGGACUCAAUCAAUCAACUAACUUGAAUUUUCUCCCGUUUUGUAGAUGUCAAAGUAUGAGGGAUUUACUUCUGCAUCUGAUGGCGUAGAGUGAUGUGGUGGUUGCCCUAGGGAAACCAAAGAGGUUAUGCGAUGCUGAGAACCUGGUCUAAUUUAGGAUUGUUUGGAUUGAUAGGGGAGUGACUUGGAGGACUCGGGGCGAUCCUUGAGGAAAGUGUGGAUAGAUGUGGAAGGUAGUAUGGGCCCGUACUACUAGAAGCAGAGGAUCCAUACUCGAGUCAAGGAGAGUCACGAUGAUACUAGGAAGCUUAUAUAAUGUGGGAUUCUUCGAGUAUGUUCUGAUGGUUUCUAUGGUUUAUUUUCAGUAUGGUGGUCACUCGAGGAGGUUGUAAUGCAGAUAGGGGUGCCGAUGUUGGUGUCGGUGAUAGUUCACGUUCGGGCUCUGGGGCCAGACAUAUGGAUGAUUAGAUAUGGAAGUUCAUUUCAUCAGAGAUUACCCGCAAUAUUCUUGAGCAGACUCUUGUGAUCUUUGGUAUGGUCAAGGAGGGUAUCAUGGAGAUUCUGGAUGAGCGCUAGGGCGCUUUUCGUUCUGAGAUGGUGGCGAUGAUGGGAGCUUGCACUUUGACCUUCCGUAAAUUCCGGGCAUGUGGAGCCCUGCAAUUUUUCGGGAAUAAGUACCUAAUUACGAGUAGGCAUUGGUUGGCAGACAUUGGGAAUGCCUUCUGAUCUAGCCUCUGUCCCGAGGACAUAAAGGUCCGACUUGCAUCCUGUAUUUUGAAAGACAGAGCUCGCGACUAGUGGGAGGAGGUUGGACACGCCUUGGGAGGCAAGGCGGUUGAGUCGAUGACUUGGGAGGAUUUCGUGACGAGGUUUCGGGCUGAGUUUGCACUGAUGAUUGAAGCCAACAGUUGGCGAUAGAGUUUCAGGACCUUCACCAGACUACUGAGACAGUGACAGAGAUCACUACUAUGUUCCGAGAGAGGGCAUUACUGGUUCUGUAGUGUGUGGUGGACGAGGAGAUGAAGAAUGCGAGAUAUCAUGAGAAGUUGAAGAGCAAUAUCAAAUAGUUUGUGAGUAGAUCCAGUUACAAGACACUGGUUAAUAUGAUAACGCGAGAGAGAGAGAGAGAGAGAGACAGAUAGAUAGAUAGACAGAGAAUGACUUGGAGAUGGAGAGGAAGAGGAAGUCGGAUCAGGUUUAGAGUUUAGAGGGUUCUGGAAAGAGGCCCAAGGUUUUUGACUCGAGGUCGAGGGGCAAGUAGGGUGUGGGGGUCAUUGCAACAAGUGCAGAAAGACGCAUGAUGGGGCGUGUAGGGUGGGUGGUUCUGGUUGCUUCAAGUGUAGUAGGAUGGGUCACUUCAGCAAAGAUUGCACUGCCACCACCACCACCUAGGUAUCUUUUCUAAUUUGCUUCUAUUAUAAUCAGAGGGGCCAUAAGAAGGCCAGUUGCCCAAGUUUAGCAGCAGGGGGACCAGUUGUAGCACCCGCUCCGAUGACUUUGCAGAUUACAGAUGGCCGACAAGUCAAGGAGGAUGCGCUUAUGAUGAGGAACAGGGCCUUCCACCCGACAGCCGAGGAGGCUUGUGCAACACCAGAUGUAGUGAUGGGUAUGUAUCUUCUCCUUAUCUUUUUAUUUAUGUUAAUUUCCCUAUUUAUAUUUUGCGUUUGCUUUUCGGGUCGUUCCAUGUAAACGGUAUCUCUGCUCUAGUUUUGUUUGAUUCAAGGGCUGGCCGAUCCUUUGUAUCUCUCGCGCUCAACAAGAGAGUUGAAGGGCAAACUCAACGAGUUGAGUCAACUGGGGGUGUUGACUUUGACUUUGACCUGGACUUGACUUUGACCAUAGUUGACCCUAAGGGGUUAUAGGUAUGAAAUGGUAUCUAAGGGGUUUUUUUGAUUCAAGGAGUGAGUAGAACUGAUUCCGGAGCAGAGAUGUUUCGGCUAGCAUCCGACAUUUGAGGUGAGUUUCCUCCUGUAUGAACGGGAUGAAGGCACCAAUGUCGGGCUGUAUAUGUAUGUUAAUAUGUUCCAGACUAAGGUCUGAUGUCGGGAAGUGCCCGAUGUAGGUUUAUACGUUUCCAGAUUUCGAUUCGAUGUCGGGCGAUGCCCGAGGAAUGUUUGUAUGUUUGAUGUCUUUGUGAUUCUUGCAUGUGCCUAUAUUAUUGUAUGUUUCCAAAUUACGGUCUGAUGUCGGGCAAUGCCUGAGGAAUGUUUUUAUGUUUUCGGAUUUCGGUCUGACGUCGGGCGGGGCCCGAGGAUUGUUUAUAUGUUUAUGUUAUGUGAUUAUUUAUGUGUAUUUGUUGAUAUGUUAUGUGUAUUUGUUGAUAUGUUAUAUGUAUACUGAGCUUUGCUCAAUGUCGGGUGGGGCCCGAUGAUGGACUAUGUCCAAUGCCGGACAGUGUCCGAUGCCAGGCAAGACCCGAUGAAGGGGGCGGAGCCCACUAUAUGUUUAUAUGAGAUUGUAUGAUUAUGUGUAUGGUAUGUGGUAGUUUGGGGAGACUCACUAACUUUCAUGCUUACAAUUUUCAGUUUUGGUUUCAGGUAUUUCCGGUAGCAAGGGGAAGAGCUCGGGAUGACUGCAUUUCACACACCAUGAUGUUAGCAUGGGAUGUUACUCUGAUAUAUAUAUAUAUAUAUANUUAGCAAUAAAUUAAAUAUAGUAAGUUUACAUUGGAUGAUGUUAUGGUAAUAUAGAUUUAAAGACGGUUUUGAUAAUUAUAUUUUUUUCACGUCCUUAAUCAUUUUUAAAUUCAUGUUUUCAUAAUAAAAAUGUUAAAAAUCAUUCUUUGCUAAUAUGAAACAAUUUAUCAUCUAUCAUCUNAAAACACGAAAACAAAUUUUAUCUUAUGAAAAUCAAACACAUGUACUUUAAAAAAAAUAAAUUCAUUAGCAAUAAAUUAAAGAUAGUAAGUUUACAUUGGGUGGUGUUAUGGUAAUAUAGAUUUAAAGAUGGUUUUGAUAACUAUUUCUUUUUCACGUCCUUAAUCAUUUUUAAAUUCAUGUUUUCAUAAUAAAAAUGUUAAAAAUNNNNNNNNNNNNNNNNNNNNNNNNNNUAUAUAUAUAUAUAUAUGACAUGUGUUUCGAUAUUGAAAUACUGAUUUUGAUGUUUCGAGAUAAUAUGGUUCCUAUUUUGAUAAAUGAUUUUUGGUAACUAUGAUUUAUUUAAUUAUCUAAAAAUAAAAUUUUUAGUCAUGAUUUUUAAAAUGUUACACAGAUUUUAACAAAAACCGAUUAAAACCCAAAUCUCUUUAAGAUAAAAACCGUUUUGGUUUAAACCGGUAAAUGUCCACCUCUAGAGGAGACUACAGUACUACACCCAAUAAGCUUUCUUCCAGGCUCCAGCCCAUAAGCUAUAAGUUGCAUAAAGUCCGUGAACUCAAUGGCCAACCUAUGAUAUGCAGCCCAUAGUUUUUUUAAAGGACGUUUUAUAAUAACAAUUUUAUUUAUUUAUUAUUUUUUUUUUACAUUACAUUACAAAAGUUGCAUCAUUUUUUGUACAUACCCUGCUCAUAUGCUAUGCUAGAUCUUUCAUUUUUUUAAGUACUAGUUUUGUGUAAAUUAGAGAAAGAACAAUGAAGUCAACAAAAUCUUUAAAAAACCAGAUGUCAAGUUUUAUCACAUAUCCUUAGCGUAAUUCUAAUGUCAAGUUUGCAUCGAUCUACACUUGAAUCAUACAAAUAACAGAUCACUCGAUAACUCGAACCAUUGAAGAACUGGAAAUCAACAAAAUCUUUAAAAAACCAGAUGUCCGAAGUAAAGCAAGUUGGAAUUUGAAUUGAAGCAAUUGACAAAUCUACACAUGAAUCCAACAAAAUCGAAGAAAAAAAGAAAAAAAGACAACAGAUUUCUACACAGAUCCUUAACAUGAUUCAAAAGUCAUAUUCGCAUCAAUAUCAGAUCGACAUGAAUCCUACAAAAUGAGAUCACCCCAACAAGUUGAAGACCCGAAAAACAACAAAAUCUUGAAAAAAAAUAUUGAAAGCACGAAGAGAAGCAGUUAGAUAUGAAUUGAAUUAGUUAAGAAAUCUACACUCGAAUCUUACAAAAUCUGAGAAAAGUUGGAUUCUACAGAUUUCUCUACAGAUCCUUAGCAAUAUCCAAAUGUCAAAUUUAUGCAUUAAUUACAGAUGAAUUCCACAAUAGCAGAUCAAUCGAACGAGUUUGAAGAACCGAAAAGCAACACAACCAAAUACUAAUUAAUACGAAUAUUUGAAGAGAAGCAAUCGGAAUUACAGUCGACGCAGUUGGAUUUCGAAGAUAACAAAACCUCAAUAUCGAAACCAAAUCUUAAGAAUAGAAAAAAGCUUACUUGAUUCGAAGACGAUAAAGACCGAGGCACUGUAUGACAUUAAACCGACUUGUAUUGCCUCGAUACCAUUGAAAUGCGUUUCAAUUCAUCAACAAAAAGCACAUAUAUAUCAUAAUUUCAUAUCGAACUCAUCUACAUCCUCCUGUUAACAAGGGAGAUUAGUUUUUACGAGAGACAAAAUGUUAAGAGGUGAAAGUAAAUUAUCUGAAAGAGUGAGGUUGAAAAUAGAAAUAAAGAUGGUUUCCUAUAAAGUGACAUUUUAGCCAUGGCGUCAGGAUAUGAAAACGAUAGGUAAAGACCGAUGACUUGGUCCAUACACCUGAAAGCCAGAAGAGCAACAGCUGGCCUGGAUGUUAUUUAUCAGAGCAUGGAGCUACUGUUCUAUACCGC